rnacentral:rRNA from 1 species
CGUAGGGCGCGAGCGUUGUCCGGAAUUAUUGGGCGUAAAGGGCUUGUAGGCGGCUUGUUGCGCCUGCUGUGAAAACGCGGGGCUUAACUUCGCGCGUGCAGUGGGUACGGGCAGGCUUGAGUGUGGUAGGGGUGACUGGAAUUCCAGGUGUAGCGGUGGAAUGCGCAGAUAUCUGGAGGAACACCGAUGGCGAAGGCAGGUCACUGGGCCAUUACUGACGCUGAGGAGCGAAAGCAUGGGUAGCGAACAGGAUU